UCCCUUCCGUCCCACCCCCAGAUGUUCCACGGUCUCAAAACUCUCUCCUCCGAAACAGGACAAGUUGCGUUUACUUUCGCAAAGCGACGCGUCAACUCGCGGCAACCAAAGCAGCCGGACCCACCCAAUAACGCCCAUCCCCGCGCCGCCCCCCGCAGUUCCGCCCGAACCCACCCGAGGUGCUGUCAUUCCAACAGGAGAUCCUUACACAAAACUUCAUUACAUCAGAAUAAA